GCAGCUGGAGGUGGAUGCUAGUAAGCGGCCGAGCAUCAGCUGCUGCCUGUUGAAAUGGGUCGUUUGUGAAGGAAGAGGAGUUUAUUUCCCAGGCUGGAGGAGGCGAUGGAGUCUAGGGCUCUUGUGGGAGAAGAAAGAGGUGACCUUGAGUCUGAAUGAAGGUGGUUUCCUGAAUUUGCAUCUUGAUUUCUCCACUGGUGGUGGUCUACUUGAGCAGGAACAGCUUUGUAACUUGAACAGCCACUGCAGCGAUGCCUCGUCGCCCUUCUCCCUGUGCUGGGGCUGCUGAGCAGGUGAUGGGGAGGAGGAAGGGUGCUGCUCCCUUGGGCUACCAUCCUGCUGCUUGGCAGAGCAUCCCAGGACCCCAAGCAGCUCACGCAGGUUGUGUGCGCCAUACCAUCUCAUCUGCAGCAGGCAGGGAAUAUUCUCUCCUGUAGCCGCUGCUGCAGGUGCACAGACCUUUGGAGAGUGCUGACAGCUAGGUGAGGAGGUCUGGAUGAUGGGGUGCAGGACAUCCAUUCCUCCCUUAUCGUGGGAAGGUGGUGCACGAUGCCACUUUUCUUUUGCAUUGACACCAGGUAUGUAACCCUCCUGCUCCCCAGGAGCUCAGCUCCACCCAUGCUGGAAGUCAGAAUUGGCUGCAUCUCAUUUCCAACCACCUUUUGACCAGCGAGAGAUCUGGUGUCCCUGGAUCCAUCCAACACUGUGUACUCCAGCCAGCCAGCCACCCCCUUCUCCCAGCUGCAGUUCACCAUCACCUGUGUAAAUGUGGCUCCCCAUUAAGUCCGUGCUUGCAAAGCUUUAAAAGACUCCAGACACUGAAACCUGGCUGCUCAGGGCUGUGCUGCAACCAGCUGGGUGCUGUUCAUUGCCCCAGAAGCUCUCUCUAAUUGCAGGAGCUAGCGAAGCAGCACUGACCGACGGGCUCGGCUGCAGGGUCCUGUUUCAUCGGAGGCAGCUCAGUGCAGCAGUAAUGCUCUCCCACUUUCUUCCACAGGAGGAUUUUGUGUCUCGGGAUGAGAUAGAGGUCUGGCUGCUCUGUGUGAGCUCUCAAAGCUUGCACGAGAGCCCAUGUGCCCCCUUCCUCUCUGCCCACCUUUUCCUUGCGGGCUGUGUGGGGCUAACCCCAUGCUGACAUGAGGGAUGCUCCAGCUGGUGUCCGUAAAAGAGAUUCCCCCAUCUUGUGCUUCUGUCCUGUUCUCUACAGAGCUGAAGAGUUACAUUUUCCUCUGAAAACCCACUGUUCCUCUGGAGAAGGUUGGUUCCGGGCCUGUCUUCAAGCUGAAUGCUCUCCCAUGGUGGAAGGUUGCCUGGAUAACUUCUCCAGUGGCAAGCUCAGCCCGCAAAUAAGGCUUGAAGGAUAUUACUGCAUUUCCCAAGAGUGCCCAGCUUUUGAAAUGCCAUUUCCCCUGGUAUUAGGAGUUCUGGAAGCUGAAGCCAGGCAGAAGAUCAGUAUCUUUAACCACAUCAUGAGGACUUCUUUUGGGAAAAGGCAUCUGUAUAAUGAAUUGUCAUGGGUGCAUGAAUGAAGUAUUGAAAAUCAGCUGAGGGGCAGAGUGUAUGGGGGAGGGUGUGUCUCUGGGUGUGCUGAAAACUAAAUGUUAUCUCCAAAUUGCUCAUUAAAACCUUCAUUUUAA